AGGGCGCCUUCUUCCCUUCUCUGAGGCCAAGGUACUGCUCAGAAUUUGUUACAAAAUCGAAAAGUGAUCCAUCAUCUCUGAAGUAACAGAACACCUCUCUUGAAGAUGGCUUCCAGAUAUCUGUAUGAAUGGCAUCAGCAAUGGAUUAGCAACUACUAUAGAUGCACAAGAUAUUUCUGUUGUCCAGAGAAUGUGAUGGAACAGUUAUCCAAAAGAGAACAAACUAAUUCAGCCACAGUACAGAUCUACCUGGUGCAGUGAAGUCGGCAUUGCUGAGGGGAAAGUGGUGUGUGAUCAUGUCAUUUCAGAUCAGAGCUCCAUAGGCUUCAGGACUCGAAGGGCCCAUCUUGAUCAUCCAGUCUGACAACGUGUGUAGGAAGAGUCCAUGGGAACAGCCCAGGAUGAAUCUCCUUUCAUAAUGCAUAAGUACAAAGAUACAGAAUUAUAA
rnacentral:lncRNA from 1 species